rnacentral:rRNA from 1 species
GAUGAACGCUGGCGGCGUGCCUAAUACAUGCAAGUCGAGCGAACAGAUAAGGAGUUUGCUCCUUUGAUGUUUGCGGCGCACGGGUGAGUAACACGUGGGUAACCUCUCUAUACGACUGGUAUCAAUUCGGGACACCGGGGAUUAUGCCGGAUAACAUUUAGAACCACGAGGUUCUAAAGUGAGAUACGGUUUUGUUAUCACUAGUUGAUGGACCCGCGUAUUAUUGACUUGUUGGUAAGGUAACGGCUUACCACGGCAACGCUUAGUAGCCGACCUGGGAGGGGGUCCGGCCACACGGGAAUGGAGACACGGUCCAGACUCCUAGGGAGGGCAGCAUUAGGGAAUCUUCCGCAAGGGGCGAAAGCCUGACGGAGCAACGCCGCGUGAUGGAUGAAGGUCUUCGGAUCUUAAAACUCUGUUAUAAGGGAAGAACAAAUGUGUAAGUAACUGUUCACGUCUUGACGGUACCUAAUCAGAAAGCCACGGCUAACUACGUG